rnacentral:lncRNA from 1 species
CCAAACCAGAAGAGAAGAGAAACCAAGGAAGAACAAACCAUAGGUGGGGAAAAUCAAAGAGAAAGUGUUGGAAUUCAAGGAUUUGAUCAAGCAAAGGUAAAAUUUCUUUGAUUUUGCUAGUGAUUUACCUUACCCAUGCAUUUCUCCUUGAUUUCCAUGCUUGGAUUGUAUGUUUUCAUGGAGAAAUCAUGGCUGGCCGAAUUGGUUUGGUGAGAGAAAUGAUGUUGGAAUUGUUUGAUUUUGAGUUAUGUUGGUGUUUUGAGUUAGUUAAGCAUGUUUAGAAACAAAACAAUAAGAAAAGAAUCCAUUUUCCCCAUGAACCUUCAAUGGCCGAACCCUAUGUGAAGUGUAGAAGUAAUGAAUUGAUUUUGUGAUCAAGUGAAUUGGUUGAAAAAUUGAUGAAAUGAUGAUUUAUGGUGAGAAAAUGGAAUGGGAAAAUUUUUAAUGAUAGUGCACCACAAUGGCCGAAAUUUUCAAGAAGAAUUGUGAGGGUUAUUAGGUUGAAUUUUAGAUUAUUGGAAUUGUAUUUAGUGAAUUGAAAUAUUAGAAAUGAAAUGGAGCAAUUUGGAGCCAAAUCGGACACAAUUGUCAUUUAAUAGGAUAAUAGACCGAAUUAGGUCAGCACCGCAUUUAAGCGGUAGUCGGAUAAGUUGCAUAUCAUAUCAUGCAUAUACAUCGAGCCUGAAUUGAUUUUGUAAUGGUCAAGCACUAAUGUGGUGAAUUAUGUACUGUACAUUGUGGAUAGGUGGUGAGCAAAUUACACUGGUAAAAGUACAGAGAUUGUGCUUGAAGAUUGGGAUUAGGAGUACAUCGACUCCUAGAACUGUGAGUAAACUUACUAUCGUCUUAAUUAUCUGGAGUAGUUUUUAUUAAAUUUUGAGAUUUUAUGGUAAAAUGGGUUUAAAUGGUAAAUUGUUAUGUUGUUUGAAUAAAUGUGAUUUUAUAAAAUGAUUUUAUAAAUUUUUAGAAAUUAAAUGAUGAUUUUGGAAAAAUAGAGUAAUUGGAGAUUGUUUAUAAAUUGUGUUUAAAUUAAAUGGCUUAUGACAAUAUAUGAGCAUGAAUGGCUAAACUGAUUUUUGGUGUUAGAAUUAUUUGUACUGUGUAUUCAUCCUUGAAAGGCUAGAUUACGAUAAAUUGACAUGUCAUGCAGAAAAAGAUUUUAUAAAUCAGGUGGUAGAUAAAAUAAUCUAUAAUCCCUGCAGUAGAGGUUCUGUGGACUAGCCUAUUAGAGGGGGCACAGAAUCAAAUAUACCUUACCUCGAUCGGAGAGCUGUGUGAAGGGUGUCUCUGGAGGUAAAGAUUUGAGUGCACUUCACGUGGACCACCGCGUGAGAGUGAGACUCAGCCAACGCCAAGGCAUGGCUAGAUUUUCAAAUAUAAAAAUAUGUUCAUGUGUGUACUACAUUGAACAGCCUUGGUAGUCUCAGUCAGAUGCCUAGGCCAAGGCAUCCCCGACAAUGAUUUUGGCAAGAGCCAAGUUGAUUAUUUGAGUAAAUUGAUUAUUGAUGUUAUGAAAAACAUAUUGGAAUGGAAUAUCUUACUUGUCUCCAUUUACUCUACUUUAGAUAGUUUAGAUGCUAUCUGUUUACUCAUUAAGAUUUUAUAAUCUCACCACCUUCAAUUCUCUACAUUUCAGGCUCGAGAUAGUUGGUAGAUAGCCGAUUGCAUCAAGGACUUCAGUUAGCCUUGCAUCGACAAAAUUGUAGGUUCACAAACUUGCACCUUAUUGGUUAGUUGGCGCCCCAUGUGUCAUUGUAAAAGUAAUUUUAUACCUCAGUUAUCUGCUUUAAAGUACAUAUGAAUAUACUUAGCUUUUAUACCACAGAAAUUAUUUACGGAUUUCUCUAUAAAUAUUAUUUUUUUUAAGAAA